GGAGCUAACAGGAGGUAAGGAAGGGCGGUGGAACAGUAGGAGAAUUACGGAGCGCCAUUAAGGACAAGUUUGGCCACGUGAUCCUCAGGGGAGUUUCCAGGAGCGAACGUAAGGAAGAGGUCUAAGAAGGGAAAGUUUGAUUGGACUAAUUCAAGGGGUGAGGUUGAAGACUUAGGAAGUUAGAAACUGGAGAAGCUAAAGAAUAUGGCUGGUGAGGAAGGUACAGGUUGGUUAGGAAUGGGUCUAGGUUUAAGAGUGCCCUAGAAAGACUGCUAAAGUCCCGUGGGGGAAUUUCCAGAAGCAGUUUUUAGGUGUUCCACGUAAAAACAACCCAGAGUGAAGAAGAAUCAAGGUGUUUUCUCAACAGGUCUUAGAAGAUGCAGGGCUCAAACCCACAAACUGUGAGACCAUGACCUGAGCUGAAGUCAGAUGCUUAUCGGACUGAGUCACCUAGGCGCCCCAAGAGGAGAGCAUUUUUAUGGAGAUUUUGCUUAUUUUAAAUAUGUUUUAAUUAGUAAUCAUAAUAAUACUGUUGUUCCUGAACUAUAUUUCUAAGCCUUUGCCACGGGACAGCUGUGAUGAAAUAUUCCACGUAUACUUCAAACCUAAAAUGUUCAAAAUUGGACUUCAUGUUGGUCUGCAACUCCACUACUUCUUUUUUCAUUUUUAUUCUCUCAGUUAAUGGUGCUAAAGGGCAUCAGAAUAUGCCACGCCAAAAUAUGGCACUUCAGCAUGACCAUUAUUUUCAGCUGAAGACAAUUGAGAAUCAACAGCUUCAGGAAGAAUUCUCUAGAACUCCCCUUAUCUGCAUAAAAGCAGUGCAUGAAUUUCCCUUUGUGAAGGUUUCUGCCCCCACCCCCAACUCCUGUAUCAGGAAGAAGAGAGGGACUCUUAUCACUGGUGAUAGUCAACACCCAGAAGCGUUUGCAUAAACAGAUCAACCACAACAACCCUUAUCUUCUAUCAGUUUCCCCAUGUAUUUCCAAGUCACUUCCCCACACUGUGUCAUCCCUUGAAGCCCAAGCCCCUUCCCCUUUGUUACAAUGAUGCACAAACCUUGAGUCUAACUGCUUCUUUGUGUUUUACUUCUUUUUGGUGAAUUCCUGUGCAUGUAAAUAUUAAUAAAAAUAGUGUGUCUUUUCUCCUGUUAA